GCAACUCGCCUGCAUGAAGUCGGAAUUGCUGUAAUCGCGGAUCAGCAUGCCGCGGUGAAUACGUUCCCGGGCCUUGUACACACCGCCCGUCACACCAUGGGAGUCGGUAACACCCGAAGCCGAUAAUCUAACGAAAGAGGACGUCGUCGAAGGUGGGAUUGAUGACUGGGGUGGAAGUCGUAACAAGGUAUC
rnacentral:rRNA from 1 species